rnacentral:lncRNA from 13 species
GCUAGAAAGCUUUAUUUAAUAAAAUAAUUACAAUUAAAAUAUGUUUUAGUUUCAUGGUAUGCAGAUUUGAAUAAGAAACAAAGUGGAAGAAAAAAGUGAAGGAAAGAGAAGAGGAGAAGAAAUCUGGAAGGAAUGAGAAACAAAAUAGGAAGGAAGAAAAGGCCUGGCGGUCAUGGAAUGAAGGACAUCUGAUCUCUACCCUCCCUGCUGGGUAUCCCAUGUUGGAGCCAAGACCUGAGGAGAAGGCCCAUGUGGCUAUUGCUAGAACUCCUCUGGACCCAGCACUUCAGAAGCAGGACUGUGCUUCCAAACAAUGACUUUGUGUGAAUGUUAGCAAAGAGACUGGUCCUCCACGAAGCCAGUCUUCGACCCACCUGAGUCUACUAGCAGAAUUGAGGACCCCACUCCCCACAGAAAAGGUGCUAUUGAUAAGCAGCAUCAGUGAGUGACCCUCUGCUGUGACACACUGACCACCAGACCAUGGGGCUGCCAGUGAUACCAAUCAAGAGCUAGAGAAUGGGGGGCCCAAGAUGGCUCUUGUUUUUCUCUUGUAAGACAAAAAUGACCAGGACUGACCCUUUGGUCUCCAUGAGUCCCUGACCUUCUUAGAAUGCACAGUAGUGAUCUGGAGUCAUGAAUUUGAAUAUUAGAAGGAUUUUUUUGUUAUGUACAUAAUGGGUUAUAUAUACACACUCUUACUUUCACAUAUGUUCUAGAAAAGAAAUCAAGUCAGUGAUAUCAAUACAUACAGUGAGUUCAAAAGAAUGGGAGAAGAGAGAAUUUAAACUUCCUUAAGGAAGAUUUUACAGAGGUACUUUAGCAAGUACUCGAGGAUUUUCCUCAUUCAAAUUUUCUCCCUCAAGUCAAACAAAUUAGAAUAUUCUCAGCUGUUACCUGAACAUUGUUGGAAAGUACAAAAGGUGUCUUGAAUUACUUUAGUGACAUUUUUCUGCUGGUUUGACAGAGACCAAUAUAAAGCUCACACCAGCCCAGAGACAAGCCACCUGUCUGAG